AUUGAACGCUGGCGGCAGGCCUAACACAUGCAAGUCGGGCGGAUGAAGGGAGCUUGCUCCUGGAUUCAGCGGCGGACGGGUGAGUAAUGCCUAGGAAUCUGCCUGGUAGUGGGGGAUAACGUCCGGAAACGGGCGCUAAUACCGCAUACGUCCUGAGGGAGAAAGUGGGGGAUCUUCGGACCUCACGCUAUCAGAUGAGCCUAGGUCGGAUUAGCUAGUUGGUGGGGUAAAGGCCUACCAAGGCGACGAUCCGUAACUGGUCUGAGAGGAUGAUCAGUCACACUGGAACUGAGACACGGUCCAGACUCCUACGGGAGGCAGCAGUGGGGAAUAUUGGACAAUGGGCGAAAGCCUGAUCCAGCCAUGCCGCGUGUGUGAAGAAGGUCUUCGGAUUGUAAAGCACUUUAAGUUGGGAGGAAGGGCAGUGAGUUAAUACCUUGCUGUUUUGACGUUACCAACAGAAUAAGCACCGGCUAACUUCGUG
rnacentral:rRNA from 1 species